rnacentral:misc_RNA from 1 species
GGAUGGAUCAUUAACAAAGAUCUCCUAUACGUACUGUGAACUGUUUAGAACUGGUGCUGUUAUGGCACCAAACCCUUAUACGUAAUUACCCAAACUAUAGUCAAGUUGCUUAUGAACUUAAACAACUUUUAGCAAUGGAUCUCUUGGCUCUCGCAACGAUGAAGAACGCAGCGAAUCGCGAUAAGUAGUGUGACUUGCAGAUACCGUGAAUCAUCAAAUCUUUGAACGCACAUUGCACUGACUGGAAUUCCGGUCAGUAUGCCUGUUUGAGUAUCAGUAAACACUCUCCUAACCACCUCUUACCAGGGGUGCCGUUAACGAGGACUUGAGUCUGUGUCUUGUCAAAGGGCGCGACUUUAAAUGGAUCUGCUGGUGGGUCUGUGGAUACCCUUACUAGCUGACAGGGUUAAUGGCCUCUGGCUGUCACUGUCAACGUUAGUAGGGUGUGUCUCUGAUUUCUAAGGCAUAAUACUCACAACAUACAGUAGCGAUACUGUGACCUUGAUCUCAAAUCAGGCAAGAUUACCCGCUGAACUUAAGCAUAUUAAUAAGCGGAGGAAAAGAAACUAACAAGGAUUCCCUCAGUAAUGGCGAAUGAAGCGGGAACAGCUCAAAUUUAAAAUCUCCUCGGAGAAUUGUAGUUUAAAGAAGUGCUUUCGUUGGCAGCCUGGGUAAAAGUCCCUUGGAACAGGGCAUCAAAGAGGGUGAGAAUCCCGUAUUUGAUCCAGUCACUGCCACACUGUGAUGCAUCUUCAAAGAGUCGGGUUGUUUGGGAUUGCAACUCAAAGUGGGUGGUAUAUUCCAUCUAAAGCUAAAUACAGGCGAGAGACCGAUAGCGAACAAGUACCGUGAGGGAAAGAUGAAAAGAACUUUGAAAAGAGAGUUAAACAGUACGUGAAAUUGCUAAAAGGGAAACGUUUGAAAUCAGUGUUGGCUGCCUCAAAUCAGCUAGUCAGUAAUGGCUGGUGCACUUUGUGGUAGCCAGGUCAACAUCAGUUCUGGCUGGGGUAAAUUAGAGCAGGAAGGUGACUCCUCCGGGAGUGUUAUAGCCUGCUUGAGUGCCUUGGCCGGGACUGAGGAAUGCAUCUUCAGGAUGUUGACGAAAUGGUUUUAAAUGACCCGUCUUGAAACACGGACCAAGGAGUCUAACACAUAUGCGAGUGUUUGGGUGGCAAGCCCAUACGCGAAAUGAAAGUAAACGUAGGUGCGAUCCUUUACAGGUGCAGCAUCGACCGGUCUUGACUUUCUAUGAUAGAUCUGAGUAAGAGCAUAUUUGCUAGGACCCGAAAGAUGGUGAACUAUGCCUGAAUAGGGUGAAGCCAGAGGAAACUCUGGUGGAGGCUCGUAGCGGUUCUGACGUGCAAAUCGAUCGUCAAAUUUGGGCAUAGGGGCGAAAGACUAAUCGAACUAUCUAAUGGCUGGUUCCCUC